GGACGGAGGGAGUAGAUCAUAGGUUACGUGGUGGUUGUUGGUCAAGCGACGAGACAAUGACACUUCUAAGACAAGUACGAUGCUAGGAGGAAAGGAGAGGCCCAUGAAAUCGCUACCUGAUAAUAAUAUUAAAAGUAGGAGUUUUUCUUUUUUUGUUGAGUCUCACUUUUCCAUAAAAGGACUGUGUUUUGGAGGCCCAAAGCACUCAAUUUGUGGACUGUCGAUCAAUCUGAACUAAUAAUGAUCCAGAUCUUCUCUCUCAAUAACCCUAACUCUUUCUUCUUCCAAUCCAUCCAUAAUGCACGCGCUUCUAUUCCACGCCGCCGCCACCGCCUCCCAACAUCCUCCUCUGUCGGUGUUUAGACCCAGCAACCUACCGAGGGGGUGCCCGAGGUAGUGUUUAGUACGUAGGGCUUGCCGAGAUCAGGAACUCGAAGGUGAACACGAGCACACGAUUUAAAUAGGUUCGGACCGCUAGAUUGCAUAAUACUCUACGCCCUGUGUGUUGGUUGGAUUGAAUUACUUUGGAGGGGGUCCCAGUCUUACCUUAUAUUACCGGAGGCAGGGCUACAGGUCGGUUGAUUUACAAGAAUACUAGUUGAAUUCGACUAGAUGGGUCCUACUCUAAUUGCUACGAGUAGUUUUCCUAAUCCUCGACUACUUUCUAUCCUGCCACGUAGACUACGUUGUCCUACAUCGUAGCCUCCAUGUCUGACACGUCUCAGUGUCCAGCCCUGUAUCUAGAACUGUCCAAACUUUCUAGUGGGCCCAUGUAUGUAC
rnacentral:lncRNA from 1 species